AAGGGGCAGUAAGGUAUGGGUAACCUACCCCGGGGAUCGGGAUAGCCUUCCUAACGGAUGGGUAAUACCGGGCGAUCUGGCGAGAGCGCAUGUUCUUGUCAGGAAAUGAGUUUCGCCUCGGGAGGGGCUCAUAUAGUAUUAGCUUGUUGGUGGGGUAACGGCCUACCAAGGCAAAGAUGCUUAGCGGGUGUGAGAGCACGACCCGCGCCACUGGCACUGAGACACUGGCCAGACUCCUACGGGAGGCUGCAGUCGAGGAUCUUCGGCAAUGGGCGCAAGCCUGACCGAGCGACGCCGCGUGUGCGAUGAAGGCCUUCGGGUUGUAAAGCACUGUCGAGGGGGAGGAAAGCCGCAAGGUUUGACCUAUCCCUGGAGGAAGCACGGGCUAAGUUCGUGCCAGCAGCCGCGGUAAGACGAACCGUGCAAACGUUAUUCGGAAUCACUGGGCUUAAAGGGCGCGUAGGUGGUUGAUCAAGUCUGGGGUGAAAUCUUUCGGCUUAACCGGAAAAGUGCCUUGGAUACUGAUCAGCUGGAGGGAGGUAGGGGCAGUUGGAACUUCCAGUGGAGCGGUGAAAUGCGUUGA
rnacentral:rRNA from 1 species